UGGUUCUGGCAUCGAUGAAGAACGCAGCGAAAUGCGAUAAGUAAUGUGAAUUGCAGAAUUCAGUGAAUCAUCGAAUCUUUGAACGCACAUUGCGCCCGCUAGUAUUCUGGCGGGCAUGCCUGUUCGAGCGUCAUUUUCAACCCUCAGGCCUCCGUGCCUGGCGUUGGGGCGUAUCUGCAGCGACCUCUCGCGGGGAGCUGCAGGCCCUCAAAUACAGUGGCAGGCCCGCCGGGGCCCCGAGCGCAGUAAUUUCACCUCGCUCUGGGUCGUCCCGGCGGGUUCCUCUCGCCGUUAAAACCCCUAAACUUCAGAAUUUUGACCUCGGAUCAGGUAGGAAUACCCGCUGA
rnacentral:misc_RNA from 1 species